rnacentral:rRNA from 1 species
UAGGUGUACGAGGCAACCUGGGGAACUGAAACAUCUAAGUACCCAGAGGAAAGGAAAGCAAUAUGCGACUCCGUAAGUAGCGGCGAGCGAAAGCGGAUAGAUGUGAGACCUGUGAACACGUUGGAAUGCGUGACCGAAGACGGUGAAAGUCCGGUAGCGGGAGGUAGCAUCAUAGCUCUAGAGUAGGCUCGGGCUCGUGGAACCCGGGUUGAAUAUGGGAGGUCCACCUUCCAAGGCUAAGUACUCCUUGACGACCGAUAGCGAAGAAGUAAAGUGAUUGAAAGUUUAAAAGUACCCCUAUUAGGGGGGUGAAAUAGUUCCUGAAACCGUGUGCCUACAAGCGGUCGGAGCCCUCAGGGGUGACGGCGUGCUUUUUGCAUAAUGAGCCCGCGAGUUAGUCUCAGUGGCGAGCUUAAGGCCUACCGGGCCGGAGGCGGAGCGAAAGCGAGUCUGAAUAGGGCGUAUAGUCGCUGGGGCUAGACACGAAACCCGUGUGAUCUACCCAUGGUCAGGGUGAAGGUGGGGUAAAACCCGCUGGAGGCCCGAACCCGUCAUCGUUGAAAAGAUGUGGGAUGAACUGUGGGGAGGGGUCAA